GACGAACGCUGGCGGCGUGCUUAACACAUGCAAGUCGAGCGGUAAGGCCCUUUCGGGGGUACACGAGCGGCGAACGGGUGAGUAACACGUGGGUGACCUGCCCUCAGCUCUGGGAGUAAGCCUGGGAAACCGGGUCUAAUACCGGAUAUGACUCCAUGACGCAUGUUGUGGGGUGGAAAGCCUUGUGCGGCUGAGGAUGGGCCCGCGGCCUAUCAGCUUGUUGGUGGGGUGAUGGCCUACCAAGGCGACGACGGGUAGCCGGCCUGAGAGGGCGACCGGCCACACUGGGACUGAGACACGGCCCAGACUCCUACGGGAGGCAGCAGUGGGGAAUCUUGCGCAAUGGGCGAAAGCCUGACGCAGCGACGCCGCGUGAGGGAUGACGGCC
rnacentral:rRNA from 1 species